rfam:Camelus ferus unplaced genomic scaffold scaffold740, whole genome shotgun sequence.
GAGGGUAUAGCUCAGUGGUAGAGUGCGUGCUUAGCAUGCACGAGGUCCUGGGUUCAAUCCCCAGUACCUCCA